GUUAUGUGUAGCUUAAUAUUAAAGCAUAGCACUGAAAAUGCUAAAAUGGCAAAGCCCACCAACAA
rnacentral:tRNA from 1 species